GCUGUGGCUAAUCACAAUCUCUGAAUGCGCAGCACAACCAUCUGACAGGCGGCUCUCCUCUCCCUCAGCCUGGAGAUGGUCCCAGAUUGUCAUGAGACAGACCACCUUGCUCCUAGUGGCACACAGGACGUACACAAUGGCUGCGCAUGGAGUUAAUGACAUGAAAGUGCCACACUGACGUCUGCCCGUCCUGAGUAGCUGUUAACCCCGGGCAUUUUAUUGCCCCAUUUGCCAGGUGAUUCAACUGAGGAGGGGAAGUGACUUUCCCACGAUCUCGGGGGUUAAGACGAUGCAGAACCCGGACUCCAGCCCACUGAUUCUGUUUUCAAGUCUCACACCUCUCUUCGUAGGUCUCUCAUCUCAGCCGCCUACGAAGGUCAAAUCCUGCAUAUUUACGCCAAACUUGAGAGUUGACCAAGUGCCUUUCCCAUGCAUCUUCCUGUUUCACCCCAAGCCGAAAGGUUUGGAAAACAUGCCACCCUUUUAACCUCGGAGAGACUUCUGCCUGGGAAAAGAAUGAAGUGAAAUAAACUCUUUUGAGGGCCUGUGAUCAACCAGGCCCCUCCCCUUUGUCACCCACCUGGUGCUGCCGAGGGAGGUGCUAGGGGUUGGCGGAGGGAUCUAGGGGGCUAGUGGGAACACGGGGCCAGGGUUUCAGUCUGGGAAGAAGGAAAAGCGCUGGAGAUGAUGGGGUGGUGAUGGUUACAUAACGAUGUGAAGAUACUCAAUGCCAGGGAACCGGGCAUUUAAAAACGAUUAGAUGGCCUGUUUCCUCCUAUGCGUAUUUUAACCACAAUUAAAAAAAAAAAAUCGGCUAAACGAGAUGUGUUUGUGAGCCCAGUCUGGCCUGAGGGCUGCCUGAGUGACCACAGGAGACGGGAAACUCUCUGAGAUCGGACCCCACCCACCAGCCACCGUCCUGCCAUCGUCCCCUUGGCUGCCCGAGCAAGAGCGUUUACGAGGAGUUCUUUUCAAAAGGCGCACACCCUCUCAGUCUGAGCAGAGGCUCUUUAACUGCUGGGCAAAAGCCGUGGAUACGGGGCUGUGGUACUUCAGGCAGCUUGGGGUGCUUUGGUCAUUGGCGGGGGGCGGGGGCGGCAAUCCGUGGACACAGCUGCCCGGAGUGACUUAUGUUUCGCAAAGAAGAAAUGUCCUCUUACUGUGGAAGCAAGAAGAAGGCUGGCUUCUGGACCUUCCCAGGCGGCCAGAGCCCGUCCUGCAACAAGAACCCAGGCCACGUUGGUGGCCGCAGAAAGCGCCUCCUCUGCUGGAGGACAUGACGAGGGAGGGGCUCGUCAGGGGUCCGAGCUGAUGGGGACACCGGAUGGCAGGCAGUUACAUCCAUUUUACAGAUGAGGCACAGAGGCCCGGGAAAGCCAAGGGGUGGCCUCAAAGUCACCGGCCAGUGAGAGGCAGAGCUGGGUCUCUGGGUUCCUUAACAGAGUCCGUUCCUUCCAGACGUGGGGUGCUUGAGCCUUGGUGGGCUCCCAGUCUCACCAGAGAGGCCAGUGAACUCCACGGCCCCUCCUCCCAGGAGCGUGCUCACACACCCCAUUUUUUGUCACAGGCUGGCCCACAGGGAGCUCGAUAAUAGCGAGGUGACUGCUCAGAUUUCUUUUAAGCCAUGAUUGUGCCAGGUCCCGCAUCACCCAUCUUGGGCAGAACAGGAAGGCAUGCUUGUGGCAGAGAGCCCUGCCCAGCAGACAUCAGCACGCACGGGAGAGGGGCAGGGUCGCGUUUACCCAGCGCCAAUGAUCCCAGGCACAGGGGAAGAAGCAUCUUCGUGUUCAGGGCGCCUUUUGCAGCUCAUUCAGUCAUUGGAAGGAAACUGUCAAGUAGGCAGGCACUGGGACUCUCCAACAGACCAAGAAGCAGAAAUUCCAAGGAGGUGACAAGGCUGUGCAGGGACACAGCUGAGGAGGGGCCAAGCCAGCCAGGACCUUGGGGACUCCAGCGUGCCAGCUCCCUCCACCACCCCGUCCGUGCCCAUACACAUGGGCCUCCGACAGCCAACAGCCAUCACGUUGGUCCCCUGGUUGGUAUGAUACAGAGGAGAGACGUUCCCAAGGGUGACUUGAAAUGGGAAGCUGUCGCUUGCCUUGUAGCUCAGUUCCCCGAGGGGGUGACAAAUAACGGGACCACCUGGGCUCCACUGGCUGGUUGCGAAGGAUGUAAAUAUUUUCCAGGUUGCCGUGCUUGCCUCUGUGCUGUCUUCUUUCCUAAAACGACAACAACAAACCAGGGAGAUGAGUUCUUAAAGGGACCAUACCAAUGAGCAUGGUUUUCUGCGUGAAGUCAUCGGAACACACAAGCCUUUAAGACGCUGGGAGGCCCACUCUCUCCUCGAUGUGUAUGGGCUCACAUCAUGAUAGCUGCAUACAAUUCCCCAGCUGCUCUCCAUGAGAAAUAACCUUAGGAGUUCCCACUGUGGCUCAUGCGUGAAGGAUCCAGCGUCUCUAUGAGGAUGUGGGUUUGAUCCCUGGCCUCGCUGAGUGGAUUGAGGAUCUGGCGUUACCAUCAGUUGUGACACAGGUUGCAGAUGCAGCUUGGACCCAGUGUUGCCAUGGCUGUGAUGUAGGCUGGCAGGUGCACCUCCAACUCAACCCCCAGCCUGGAAACGUCCAUAUGCCACAGGUGCAGCUGUAUGAAUAAAUAACUAAAUAAAUAUAACCUUAGUUUGGAAU
rnacentral:lncRNA from 1 species